AAGUCGUAACAAGGUCUCCGUAGGUGAACCUGCGGAGGGAUCAUUACCGAGUGAGGGCCUCCGCGCCCAACCUCCCAACCCUUUGUCUAAUGAAUACAUGUUGCCUCGGGGGGCGACCCGGCCUCUGCGCCGCGGGGUCCCCCGGUGGUCCCACUACACUGCAUCUAUGCGUCGAGGAUUGAAAACCAAAUCAAUUAAAACUUUUAACAACGGAUCUCUUGGUUCUG
rnacentral:misc_RNA from 1 species